rnacentral:rRNA from 1 species
UACGUAGGGUGCGAGCGUUGUCCGGAUUCAUUGGGCGUAAAGAGCUCGUAGGUGGUUCGGUAAGUCAGGUGUGAAACCUCCAGGCUCAACCUGGAGACGCCACUUGAUACUGCUGUGACUGGAGUCCGGUAGGGGAGCGUGGAAUUCCUGGUGUAGCGGUGAAAUGCGCAGAUAUCAGGAGGAACACCGGUGGCGAAGGCGGGUCUCUGGGCAGUAACUGACGCUGGAGGAGCGAAAGCGUGGGGAGCGAACAGG